rnacentral:tRNA from 1 species
GGUUUGUGGCUCAGCGGUAGAGCGCUUGCCUAGCUAAGUGCGAGGUCCUGGGUUCGAUCCUCAGCACCA